AGGCUUUAGCUUAAUUAAAGUGUCUGAGUUGCAUUCAGGAGAUGUGCAUUAAGGCUGUACAGGUCUUC
rnacentral:tRNA from 1 species